rnacentral:rRNA from 1 species
UACGUAGGGGGCAAGCGUUGUCCGGAUUUAUUGGGCGUAAAGAGCGUGUAGGCGGCUUUACAGGUCCGUUGUGAAAACUCGAGGCUCAACCUCGAGACGCCGGUGGAAACCGUAAAGCUAGAGUCCGGAAGAGGAGAGUGGAAUUCCUGGUGUAGCGGUGAAAUGUGCAGAUAUCAGGAAGAACACCCGUGGCGAAGGCGGCUCUCUGGGACGGUACUGACGCUGAGACGCGAAAGCCAGGGGAGCGAACAGG